rnacentral:rRNA from 1 species
UUCCGGUUGAUCCCGCCGGACCUGACUGCUAUCGGAUUGAUACUAAGCCAUGCGAGUCUUUGCAGUAAUGCAAGGCAUACGGCUCAGUAACACGUAGUCAACUUACCCUAUGGACGAGGAUAAUCUCGGGAAACUGAGCAUAAUACUCGAUAGAUCAUAAUGCCUGGAAUGGUUUAUGGUUAAAAUGAUUCGUCGCCAUAGGAUGGGACUGCGGCCUAUCAGCUUGUUGGUGAGGUAAUGGCCCACCAAGGCGAUUACAGGUACGGGCUCUGAGAGGAGAAGCCCGGAGAUGGGUACUGAGACAAGGACCCAGGCCCUAUGGGGCGCAGCAGGCGAGAAAACUUUGCAAUGUGCGAAAGCACGACAAGGUUAAUCCGAGUGAUUUCUGCUAAAGAAAUCUUUUGCAAGUCAUAAAACCACUAGUGAAUAAGGGGUGGGCAAGUUCUGGUGUCAGCCGCCGCGGUAAAACCAGCACCUCAAGUGGUCAGGAGGAUUAUUGGGCCUAAAGCAUCCGUAGCCGGCUCUGUAAGUUUCCGGUUAAAUCCAUGUGCUCAACGCAUGGGCUGCCGAAAAUACUGCAUAGCUAGGGAGUGGGAGAGGUAGACGGUACUCAGUAGGAAGGGGUAAAAUCCUUUGAUCUAUUGAUGACCACCUGUGGCGAAGGCGGUCUACCAGAACACGUUCGACGGUGAGGGAUGAAAGCUGGGGGAGCAAACCGGAUUAGAUACCCGGGUAGUCCCAGCUGUAAACGAUGCAGACUCGAUGAUGCAUUGGCAUAUAGCCAGUGCAGUGUCGCAGGGAAGCCGUUAAGUCUGCCGCCUGGGAAGUACGUACGCAAGUAUGAAACUUAAAGGAAUUGGCGGGGGAGCACCACAAGGGGUGAAGCCUGCGGUUCAAUUGGAAUCAACGCCGG